CUUCCUCAGUCGCAGCCCUUCUCUUUUCUUGCGCGUGCGUGCAGCUCCUAUGCUCAGCCUAAGAGGUAGAGGGGCCGUGCGGAGUGUGGGCCCGAGGGUCCGUAGAUGACGUAUCAGUAGAUAGGCAUUUAUUCUACUGUUCGAGGAAAACAAAUAAGGGUGCAGCUUAGGCGAAAAGAAAAACAUCUUAUUGCCAGUGUCUAAACUCCAACGGAAUGUGUCUGAGACCGUGUGUAUGGAUACACGUGUACUUGAAUCAGCCCCGCAUGUGUGUACAGCUCUUGCUGUAAGUCAACGCUUUACCGGAGCAAUCGCACUUAAGCCUCAAGAACUUUAUGAGACGAUUUCUCAGAAGUGGGAAUACCAGUUCCCAAAAGGUCUGUGAAGUGUCAGACCUCAAGACAGACAACAACUGUUUCAUUAGGUUCACAGUAUCUAGUGCACUAAUCAUAAACCUGUACAACAUUUACUGAAAUCUGUUGGUAAUGUGGUUUACUUCUAACAGGCUUGUUUAUAUGCAUUCUUAUUCUAUCCUGGAUUGGAAUCAGAAAAUUGGACAGUGUUGCAGGUUCUGACUGAUGCAGGCACACUGACAGUGAUGAAAGUGAGAACUGUGUCCUCUGAUGUACAACUCCAGUGGGCAACAUUUACAUUGUAAUGUAUGUAAAUGACAUUUCCUGAAGCACAAUUAAGAGGCUACAGAAUGUAUCUUCCAGGAGGGCAGGCCUAUAUCUUUUUGCUUACUCCAGCUCCCUUCUAGCAAGUGUUUGACACAUAAAAGAUGUUCAGUAAGUACUGAUAAAAAUGGGGAGUGAAGGCUGAUCACAAAAUUUUCCUGCCCCAAUACUUUACAAAAUAGUUUGCGCGAAAAAAAGAACAGUAAAAACUCCUUUAAAAACCUUACCAGGGACUUCCCCGGUGGCGCAGUGGUUAGGAAUCUGCCUGCCAAUGCA